CUGCAAAAUCGAGAGAUGAGGUAUAGGGGCUGACGCCGGCCCGGGGCUGGAAGGUUAAGAGGGGUGCUUGGCGCAAGCGAAGGUAGGAAUUGAAGCCCCAGUAAACGGCGGCCGUAACUAUAACGGUCCUAAGGUAGCGAAAUUCCUUGUCGGGUAAGUUCCGACCCGCACGAAAGGCGUAACGAUUUGGGCACUGUCUCAACGAGAGACUCGGUGAAAUUUUAGUACCUGUGAAGAUGCAGGUUACCCGCGACAGGACGGAAAGACCCCAUGGAGCUUUACUGCAGUUUGAUAUUG
rnacentral:rRNA from 1 species